UACAGCCAUAUCACAUUGAAACACCAGUUCUCGUACAAUCACCAAAGUUAAGCAAUGUUGAACCUGGUCAGUACCUAUAUGGGUAGCUGCUUGGAAUUACCAGGUGCUGUAUG